rnacentral:rRNA from 1 species
AUUGAACGCUGGCGGCAUGCCUUACACAUGCAAGUCGAACGGUAACAGGUCUUCGGAUGCUGACGAGUGGCGAACGGGUGAGUAAUACAUCGGAACGUGCCCGAUCGUGGGGGAUAACGGAGCGAAAGCUUUGCUAAUACCGCAUACGAUCUACGGAUGAAAGCAGGGGACCGCAAGGCCUUGCGCGGACGGAGCGGCCGAUGGCAGAUUAGGUAGUUGGUGGGAUAAAAGCUUACCAAGCCGACGAUCUGUAGCUGGUCUGAGAGGACGACCAGCCACACUGGAACUGAGACACGGCCCAGACUCCUACGGGAGGCAGCAGUGGGGAAUUUUGGACAAUGGGCGCAAGCCUGAUCCAGCAAUGCCGCGUGCAGGAUGAAGGCCUUCGGGUUGUAAACUGCUUUUGUACGGAACGAAAAGCCCUGGGUUAAUACCCUGGGGUCAUGACGGUACCGUAAGAAUAAGCACCGGCUAACUACGUGCCAGCAGCCGCCGUAACAC